GGAAAACUUACCAGGUCCGGACAUAGUAAGGAUUGACAGAUUGAAGAUCUUUCUUGAUUCUAUGGAUGGUGGUGCAUGGCCGUUCUUAGUUGGUGGAGUGAUUUGUCUGGUUAAUUCCGUUAACGAACGAGACCUCAGCCUACUAACUAGUUUGUCUUAUUCUUAUAAGGCACAACUUCUUAGAGGGACUAUCGGAAAUCAAGCCGAUGGAGGUAUGAGGCAAUAA
rnacentral:rRNA from 1 species